AUAUAUUAAUGAAUAAAACUCUCAAGA
rnacentral:snRNA from 1 species